rnacentral:lncRNA from 1 species
UACUGUUGAAGACAUUGCUAAUGAGGCUUCCUUAAGACCAACUGAUGUGUUCCCAAAAGUUGAACAUAGAACUAGCAAUGUGAAAGUAAAGCUGUUAAAGAAAGAAAAUAAACAAAAGAGAAACAGUUGUUUAUGAACUUUAUCCUAGGCUAGUGGGCUGAACAUCAGACUUCUGUACUAACCCUAGCCUGCAAACAUCAAAUAUUGUUCCGUGAGGUGAUGAAAACAGAUUUGCCUUUUUUUGAUAUAUGGAUAAUGAAUUUGCCUUGUCAGAUCUUGUCCCCUUUCUUCUUCAGACUGUUGCUAUAUUAACCUGUUUCUUAGAUGUUUUGCUCUUAUCUUUCAAAGAGAAUUUGUCCUCCAAUUGUUUGCAAAACAGACUAUGAGCUCUGCUGGAAACCUUUUGUUAAUACAUGGUUGUUAGUGCUGUAACAAAUCUAAUGAAAGUCAGAAAGAAUAAUUUCAGGCUUCACCCAAGGCAAAAUCUGGAGUUUAAAGAACAUAUUUCCAAGAAUCAGGUGGUCUAAGAAAAAGAAAAUUUUCUAAGAAAAAAUCAAGAUACUGUCUAUUAUACUUCAGUUGAGAGAGGUAAAGCAGCUGUUAGGAAGUGCAUGUUCAGUGUUUAUCAUAAUACCAGGACAUUUUAGUACAGCAAAUAAAAUUGAGAUGCUCAUAGCCAGUGCAAGUUUGAGAGACAAGUGGGGUUCCGCCAUGGAUGUAGAUGACUUCACAUUUCCACAUGCUUCAUGAAGGAGGGAUCCAU